AAAAACAACUAAUUUCAGGCUUGAGAUUAAGCUUUCUAAAUGUGUUUGUUGAAGUGUGGCGUAGAUGAGGUCGAUGCAGGGGAUGAAAGAGGUCGCCUUUUCCACCGUCAAAUCACUCAAGGAUUCUGCUUCGCCUUUGCAUGAUUCCGGCAAGUUUUCCGGCGGCAUCGACUCCACGGAUUCGACGGCCGUUGUCGUGAAAUCUGAUAAAUUCAAACAGGCUGAAGACUCUCUGCGCAUUGUCAUGUACUUGAGCUGCUGGGGUCCCAAUUGACAUCUCUCUCUCUCUCUCUACAUAAAAAUAACAAGAGUCGGCGUCUAUGUAUAUACACAAUUACUAGGAAAUCGAAACAUACAUUUUAUAUUAGUUAGUUGUUUGUAUAGUCUCAUUUUUUUCCGUUUAUUUAAUUUGCAUUUGAGGUAAUGGUAAUAUCGUAUACUACAUGAUUUUGUUCCACAGUUUGUUGUUUGAACA